AGCAGCCGCGGUAAUUCCAGCUCCAAUAGCGUAUAUUAAAGUUGUUGCAGUUAAAAAGCUCGUAGUUGAAUUUCGGGAUCAAUAUGUUGGUCGUGCCUCGGUACGUACUAGCUUAUUGGUUUCUCCUUUCUGAAGAACCAUGAUGUCAUUUAUUUGGUGUCGUGGGGAAUCAGGACUGUUACUUUGAAAAAAUUAGAGUGUUUAAAGCAGGCUCACGCUUGAAUACAUUAGCAUGGAAUAAUGAAAUAGGACGUUUGAUUCUAUUUUGUUGGUUUCUAGGAUCGACGUAAUGAUUAAUAGGGAUAGUUGGGGGCAUUAGUAUUCAAUUGUCAGAGGUGAAAUUCUUGGAUUUAUUGAAGACUAACUACUGCGAAAGCAUUUGCCAAGGAUGUUUUCAUUAAUCAAGAACGAAAGUUAGGGGAUCGAAGACGAUCAGAUACCGUCGUAGUCUUAACCAUAAACUAUGCCGACUAGGGAUCGGAUGAUGUUA
rnacentral:rRNA from 1 species